GUGGGGUUGAUGGUGGAUGGUCUGGUUAACAAGCUGCUGAAGUGUUCUGCCCAUCUGUCUCUUAUUUCUGCCUGAUUUUUGAUCAAGGAAGACCCUUCAGCUGAUGGCUGGAGUCAGGAGGUCAGGUGAGAAAUGUGCAGCUCCAUUCCAGCGUAAACCUGUGACUGCCAUUCCUCAGGAGCCCUGACCCUCAGAUGUCCUUUAGCAGUCGAGAGAUAUCCUUUAGAUUCUUUGGAGGAUGCCCAACAUUACUUUCUCAAGACAACUAACAAUAGUUAAAAUACCAUACAGUGCCCCGGAGAGGCAGGCCCUCGGCAGCUGGAUCUGAAUGCGUGGCAGCUGAUUCACUACAAUGCAAAACCAAAAAGAACUACUAGAGAGUUAUUCCACCUUGGCUGUCAAUGGUAAAGUCAUUGGGCCUGUGUCAGCUACAGCACUAAAGCUACUGAAGUGUGGAAACUGCUUUGGAGGAAAAGAGACGCACUAAAGACAUGAAAAGGAACUUGUAUGAGGGUAACAUCUAGUUUCCACAGGGGUUGGCUUUGAUUACAUGAGAACUGGAUCUUGAAAAACACAGCGACAAAACUUUUAGACAGAAAAGACUUUGGAUAUCUGAUAGAAGGAUUGCGUAACAAACCCUGAACAACUAGUAGGGCAAUGACAUUGUAAUAUAAUGCCAUAUGUGCCAAAAGGUUGAAGAUCAAUAUCCUAGGAAAGGGUGCAAUUGUUUCAAGCAGGGAAAGGUUCAUGUGGCUUUGUAUGUGGCAAGACCUGGAUGGAAUGGUAUCAACUGAACAACAGCAGCUGCCAAAAGGUAGAGAGCAUAAUGGUUAUGUUAGCAGAUUGAUUGAAUAAAUGUGUUUUGAGAUAUAUGUUGAUUUUAUCUUCAGUGACAUAACUAGUGCAAAUUUAACAUUAUCAGUGAAACAUUGAUUAACUUUACUGUAGCAGAAAUACAUAUGUUUAAAAAAUACGAACAUGGAUUUUCUUGAAGCUGCUAAUUUG